ACGACCAUACCCACUGGAAAACUCGGGAUCCCGUCCGCUCUCCCAUAGAUAAGCCAGUGAGGGCCGGAUUAGUAGUUGGGUCGGUGACGACCAGCGAAUACCUGGUGUUGUAUGUG
rnacentral:rRNA from 1 species